rnacentral:tRNA from 1 species
CAGUAAAUAUUUUAAUAAAAAAUUUUAGUUUUGGAUACUAAAGAUGAUUCUUUCUUUACUGA